AUAUAUUACAGUGAAAUAGGUAGUUCAAAUACAGAGACAUUAUCAGUAUUUAACCCUUUUGUUAAUACUUAAUCUAGAGUGUUAUCAUGGUGAUGAGUGGCUUCAUUUACAUGUUGGAAUCAUGAGGGCCUCAGGACCCCCUGUGAAGCUUUGGUGACACCUAGUGGGAGUCGGGACCCUCAGGUUGGGAACCAGUGCACAAGAGAAUAUCAUUGAAUAACAUGAAAUUUGUUCACACACACACACUAUGCAAACAUGCCCUAACAUUUUUUGUUUUUUUUGCAGAAUCUACCUUUCAAUUCAAUUUUUAUAAUUUUGUCCAUGUCUGACAGCAAAUAUAAACAAUUUAAACAAA